AUUGAACGCUGGCGGCAGGCCUAACACAUGCAAGUCGAGCGGAUGAAGGGAGCUUGCUCCUGGAUUCAGCGGCGGACGGGUGAGUAAUGCCUAGGAAUCUGCCUGGUAGUGGGGGAUAACGUCCGGAAACGGGCGCUAAUACCGCAUACGUCCUGAGGGAGAAAGUGGGGGAUCUUCGGACCUCACGCUAUCAGAUGAGCCUAGGUCGGAUUAGCUAGUUGGUGGGGUAAAGGCCUACCAAGGCGACGAUCCGUAACUGGUCUGAGAGGAUGAUCAGUCACACUGGAGCUGGGACACGGUCCAGACGCCUGCGGGAGGCAGCAGUGGGGAAUAUUGGACAAUGGGCGAAAGCCUGAUCCAGCCAUGCCGCGUGUGUGAAGAAGGUCUUCGGAUUGUAAAGCACUUUAAGUUGGGAGGAAGGGCAGUAAGUUAAUACCUUGCUGUUUUGACGUUACCAACAGAAUAAGCACCGGCUAACUUCGUG
rnacentral:rRNA from 1 species